GCAGGCUCAGCGGCCAUGGCUCACGGGCCCAGCCGCUCCGCGGCAUGUGGCAUCCUCCCGGACCGGGGCACGAACCCGUGUCCCCUGCAUCGGCAGGCGGACCCUCAACCACUGCGCCACCAGGGAAGCCCAGGAUCAUCACACUUUGACACUUGUGAUUCUUUAACAUGUGUCCCCACCGGACUUAAGGCUCCUUAGUGACAGGUCGUUUGGGUCAUCAUUGUAUCUCUGGCUUCCAGUGUCCUGUAUGUUUUAUUGAGUGAACCGUGUAACCUGAUUUAUUAUUACUCUGGGUCAGCUUGUAGAACUGCAGGGGAAAGGGUGGGGCUAAAGACCUAUCAUGAGACGGACGAGAGGAAGUGGGGAAGGGCUAUACAACUUUGGAUUAGAACCCUCCUCAAUUCUUAGGAACUCAUCUGAGGCAGGGUAGGGUGGGAGAUAUUUCUAGCUCGGGGUUGUUCAUUUGAUGCAGUAUAUAUAUUUUUAAUCCUGUGUCACCUCUGUCCUCAUUUAUCUGCACCUUAGAGAUGUACUCCGUUACUCCUAAGACUGUGGUAGACACUGAUAGUCAUAUCCCGUUUCUGGAAGAAGUUUUAGUUGGGCAUGUGGCCACCCAGAAGACAUUUCCCAGCCUUCUUUGAAGAUGAGUGGGGACACGUGAGCAAGCUGUGGUCCCUCUCACCCUAAGCAGAAAUAAUGCAUCCAACUUCCAGGUCGUGACCUUAAAAGGAGAGGGUGUGCCUUCCGCCCCCUCUCUUCGCCGUUCCCACUGGCUGCCAUGUGAAACUGCUUGGGAGCCACGCUUGUCCACAUGGGGUUGCUGACGGGAGAGAGACGCAUUUCUAGUUGUGAGUAGUCACACCGGCUGAAUCGGGGUCUGAAUUCCGGCACCCAGUCCCGAGCAGGCAGAAAUGAUGAGAAGCACCAUGCCUGGGGUGGCGCUCUUGUGGUAAAGAUGUGAUCGAUCACCUCAUCUGGAGGAUAAAUGACAGCACUCUGGCUAUCACAGUGAUUCUUAUUUGUUCGUUGAGAGAAGCCACCACUAGGUCAUGUUCCUGCAGCAUUUCCGGGUAGCGGGACACUGCUCGCUCGAUCCUGGCUGAACGCCGUACAGGAGUGAUAAGCUUCAUGUCUUGCACUUCCGGCAUUCCGUUUAUUCUGAGAGACAGCAAGAGAUGCAUUCAAAACCUUCUCACUUCUUUCAAAAUUCUACUUGUUAGUCUUUAUUUUUUUCUUAUUCCCUAAUAAAACACAAGAGAAAUGUCUAUAGCAGCUCUCGUCCUAAGGUGGACUUGCCCUCAUUGUCAGAAUGAACUGGGUGGUGUCCAUCUGCUCUCACAUGGUGUCAGCACAGGGAUUUAAUUGAGUGAAUUGUUAAGUGUGCUUUUAUUUGAAGUCAGCUACUUGGCAGUUGGUGUUUGUUUAUUCCAUAAACUUUCAAAGAGCUGACACGUUUUGAUGAAAUUGGGCCUAACACCAAAUGAGGCUGGACUAAUGAAUUCUAAGAUUCUUUCUAGCUUUGACAGUAAAUUAUUCAAAAAACAUCUUUUAAGAUGGUGGACCAAACCACAAAUUGAAACUGGAACAAAUCAGGCAUCUUCCUGGUAAACCUGAAUGCAUUCCAAUCACAGGCAGCCUGGAGGGUACGUUGCAGAGACCUUUCCAGGCAGUGAAUCCUGGUCACACAUCACAAAACCACUGAUUACAUUAGCCUCACAAAACUCGUGGCCAGUCUGCUGAAAACGCCCAUCACCAAUUCCGGAGACAGUAAGAGGUGGUCUUCACGUCAGCUGCCUGCUUUCAUCCACCCACGAGCUGACUACAGUGGGGAAAUGACAGGUCUGAGACAGGAGUUUAGACUGGAAGAGGCCCAGCUGUGCUUUCCAGAGAACGAAGAUACAGAACUGUGGUCUUGGUGCUUUUGUUUGGAAUUUUCCUUUCAAGAGCACGAACAGAGACUGAUGUGACACUAAUGUUUUAGAAAAUGACAUCGAUACCCUGACACAGUUCCUUAAAUUACCAUGGAUUCUUAACCUUACACUUGUCUCAAAACCAAACACUUCUGAUACUGUGCGCGGUCUCUAACUAGCACGUGCCUGCCGCCUCCCUGUUCUCACAGGGCUAUUCACAGCUCCCUCCUUCCCACAGCUCCAGAGGCUGCCUGCUUGGCAGUUUGCUCCUGCCCCCCAGGACUGGCUGUAAAGGUGGGUGGGAUCUGCAAGUGCAGCACAAAUGAGGGUGAAGAGGGAGGACCAAUGCCAGGAGGGAGGGGUGACUCCACUCCUGCAGCCCUCCUGACUCUGGCAGCUCCUUCCUCAUUGCAGGUCAGGUCUCCUUGGGGGUGGUGUGAGGGGGGAUGGUGUGUGUACUGAGAAAGGACACAGAUCUUCCUGGCACUGGUUCCAACCCCCCCCAUCACCCUCAGCUCCUUCCCUUAACACCAAAGAUGGAUUAGACCCCCUGGUCCUCGUGUGAGGCAGAAGGUAUCACUAAUCUGAUGGUAUCCUGGAUCUGGGGAGGAGAAAUUGAGAAUUGGACUUGAAUUAGACCUGUGAACACAAGCCUGCUUUAGAGUUUGCUUACCUAGGGAUCGGGGCGAUCUGUAAUUUGAUACCAGGAUGAUUAUCCUGUUCUGACUUGGUGAUUUGGGGUGUUGCUGAAACCUGUUCCCUCUCUUUUGGAGAAAGACAAGACGUCCCAGACUCCAUCUUCUUGGCCAGCAUUUCUAUUGAUGUUAUAUUAGUUUCAGCAGCUAAAGAGUCAGAGGUAAUUCCUGUGUAUACAAGGUCAAAAAGAAAAGAUUUAGCAAUUUAAUACUGAAGCUAAAAAAUCAAUAAAAUGAAACAGCAGUUAUCUACAAUGAUUUCUCAGUGAUCCUUACGGAUUCCAUAUACUCAAUAAAGAGUAAUUGAUUUGGAGUGGGACCUACAACUAGUUUUUCCUGCUACAUCAGGCCAUCCUCCUAACCAGCCCUCCAGGCAGCCUUGGGGCCUGUGAGAAUGGAUCCCGGCUACCCUUUCAACAUUGUGAACACAUCCCCAAUCUCUUAUUCACUCUCGAGGGAGCUCCCUUAGUGACUAAUCAUUGGCCUCUUCUUACCCUUACAUCACACCUUGGUUCAAUUUUCCUGACUCAUUAGAGUUAAUUCACUUGACCUUCUGAUCCCUCCCUACCCAGGUGUGACCAUAUGGCUAUCACCUUGGACAGUAGGUGAAAAAAUGUCUUGUGUUGACACAAUUUGCAUGAUAGCCCAACCAUAACAACCAAAAUUAAGGGAAGGAAAUCAGGCUGAGACAGACAGAUACUGUGGCUGGAGGCUGAGACCCCAAGAGAGGCCAACAGGGGCCAAGAGGUGGGAAAGGCAUGGAUUCCUGUCUCCUCUUUUUAUCCCUUUGAAGAACACUGCCACACAUUAUAAACAAAUACCUGAAUUGUAGCAUCAUUCUCAGCAAGAGGACCACUGAGUAUAGGUACUCUACAACCUUAUUCCCAAAAGUAAUGGGUUAGUUGGCUGUAAUUCCUCAUGACGUGAUUGUUCCCCAAAGGUCAAUCUACCCCUUUGUUUUUUUUUGGCUGCGUGGCACGCAUGGGAUCUUAGUUCUCUGACCAGGGAUUGAACCCAGGCCCUUGGCAGUGAGAGCGCAGAGUCUUACCCACUGGACCGCCAGGCAAUUCCCUAAACCUACACUUGAAAAA